rnacentral:rRNA from 1 species
AACGAACGCUGGCGGCAGGCUUAACACAUGCAAGUCGAGCGCCCCGCAAGGGGAGCGGCCGACGGGUGAGUAACGCGUGGGAAUCUACCCAUUUCUACGGAAUAACGCAUGGAAACGUGUGCUAAUACCGGAUACGUCCUUCGGGAGAAAGAUUUAUCGGGUAGGGAUGAGCCCGCGUUGGAUUAGCUAGUUGGUGGGGUAAAGGCCUACCAAGGCGACGAUACAUAGCUGGUCUGAGAGGAUGAUCAGCCACACUGGGAAUGGGAGACGGCCCAGACUCCUACGGGAGGCAGCAGUGGGGAAUAUUGGACAAUGGGCGCAAGCCUGACCAAGCCAUGCCGCGUGAGUGAUGAAGGCCUUAGGGUUGUAAAGCUCUUUCACCGGUGAAGAUAAUGACGGUAACCGGAGAAGAAGCCCCGGCUAACUUCGUGCCAGCAGCCGCCGCCGUAA